rnacentral:lncRNA from 1 species
UUAUGUUUCAUGAAAAUAAUCCUAAUAUAAAACAUAGUGAUGAAUAAUAUUUCUUUUUGAUAAUAAUCCAAUUUAAUAAUAAUCCAAUUUAAUGAAUAAUCCAAUUUGAUAAUAAAAAAACCCUAAUAUUAAUGAAUAAAAAGCCAGACACCAAGUGAGACAAUUUUGGAGGAAGUUUGAGAAUACCCAUCUGUUUUUUUUUUUGCCUAAGUUUUGGACCUUUUGGUUCAAUCCAACCCAACCCAAGUGUGGUUGUGUUUGGGAUUUGGGCCUAAGGUCUAAGUUCAACAAACUCAAGUUUGGAGACUACAUUGAGUGGGCUUUAAUGAAUAGUCUAAUUUGAUAAUAACCCAAUUUAAUGAAUAAUCAAAUUUAAUGAAUAAUAAUCCAAUUUAAUAAUAAUCUAAUUUAAUGAAUAAUAAUCCAAUUUGAUAAUAAAAAAACCUAAUAUUAAUGAAUAAUAAUCCUAUUUGAUAAUAAAACCUAAUAUUAAUAAAAUAAUAAAUAACAUUAAACAUAU